GCCCCAGUAGCCUAAUGGAUAAGGCAUUGCCCUCCUAAAACAGGGAUUAUGGGUUCAAGCCCCAUCUGGGGUG
rfam:Chelonia mydas contig250795, whole genome shotgun sequence.